rnacentral:rRNA from 1 species
GCGCGAUACAGGGUGACAGCCCCGUACACAAAAAUGCACAUGCUGUGAGCUCGAUGAGUAGGGCGGGACACGUGGUAUCCUGUCUGAAUAUGGGGGGACCAUCCUCCAAGGCUAAAUACUCCUGACUGACCGAUAGUGAACCAGUACCGUGAGGGAAAGGCGAAAAGAACCCCGGCGAGGGGAGUGAAAAAGAACCUGAAACCGUGUACGUACAAGCAGUGGGAGCACAGAGCAAUCUGUGUGACUGCGUACCUUUUGUAUAAUGGGUCAGCGACUUAUAUUCUGUAGCAAGGUUAACCGAAUAGGGGAGCCGAAGGGAAACCGAGUCUUAACUGGGCGUUAAGUUGCAGGGUAUAGACCCGAAACCCGGUGAUCUAGCCAUGGGCAGGUUGAAGGUUGGGUAACACUAACUGGAGGACCGAACCGACUAAUGUUGAAAAAUUAGCGGAUGACUUGUGGCUGGGGGUGAAAGGCCAAUCAAACCGGGAGAUAGCUGGUUCUCCCCGAAAGCUAUUUAGGUAGCGCCUCGUGAAUUCAUCUCCGGGGGUAGAGCACUGUUUCGGCAAGGGGGUCAUCCCGACUUACCAACCCGAUGCAAACUGCGAAUACCGGAGAAUGUUAUCACGGGAGACACACGGCGGGUGCUAACGUCCGUCGUGAAGAGGGAAACAACCCAGACCGCCAGCUAAGGUCCCAAAGUCAUGGUUAAGUGGGAAACGAUGUGGGAAGGCCCAGACAGCCAGGAUGUUGGCUUAGAAGCAGCCAUCAUUUAAAGAAAGCGUAAUAGCUCACUGGUCGAGUCGGCCUGCGCGGAAGAUGUAACGGGGCUAAACCAUGCACCGAAGCUGCGGCAGCGACACUGUGUGUUGUUGGGUAGGGGAGCGU